UACGACAGGUUAAGACCAGCAACCACAGAGUGUGCCUGGACAGGGGCAGGUGGCGGAUGAUAGGAAUGACUGUGACAGCAGGAACACACAUUGCUGGAGCCCUGCCUUUGCCCAGAGCUCACACUGAGAACAACCAUUGCAAAGAGCAGAAUGGGUUUGCCCUGGCCGACGUGGAGGUCGCUCAUUAACACAGACGGAAGGGACCUGAUGGCAGACGUGGGGGACGGGAAGGCUGCCUCCUGCUCAGAGCCGGUCCCGCUCCAGUCCAUCUGCCCAUGUCCAGAUCUGGGCAGUGGUGGGGUGAUGCACGAGAGGAAGAGCUGA
rnacentral:lncRNA from 1 species